rnacentral:lncRNA from 10 species
CUUACAGCAGAUACUCUCAAUGAGAAGAGUCCUGCACUCUCUGCAGUUCAUUGAACCCAUAUGGAUCAGAACAGCUGGAAGGAUGGAUAUGCUACCUGAGGCCAGCAAUUGUGUCGCCAACCAUGACUCCCACUUGCUGACCCUCGUAUAAUGCAUUGCAGUUCAGGGAACGUUGAUCACUCCUUUCCAUUUUGUGAUGGAUGGUGCCGUUUAAAACUGAUGGCCUUGGAAACCACUGAUGCUGGUGUGGAUAUCAAAUAGCUUUAAAACACUAACACAGUCCCGGUGUGGUGGUUCACGCCUAUUAUCCCAGCACUUUGGGAGGAUGAGGCAGGCAGAUUGCUUGAGCCCAAGAAUUCGAGACCAGCCUGGG